rnacentral:rRNA from 1 species
AUACGGAGGGUGCAAGCGUUAAUCGGAAUUACUGGGCGUAAAGCGUACGUAGGCGGUUAUUUAAGUCAGAUGUGAAAGCCCCGGGCUUAACUUGGGAACUGCAUUUAAAACUGGGUAACUAGAGUUUAGUAGAGGGGAGUGGAAUUUCAGGUGUAGCGGUGAAAUGCGUAGAGAUCUGAAGGAACACCAGUGGCGAAGGCGACUCCCUGGACUAAAACUGACGCUGAGGUACGAAAGCGUGGGUAGCAAACAGGAUUAGAUACCCUAGUAGUCC